GGAUCUGAGUCAUCAUGUACCUACCAUGUCAACUAAUGAAUGAAGACAUGGAAAAAAACAAGUGAUAUGACUGUUAAACAUGAAACUCAAAACUCAAGCUCAGAUGCGUUCACUCUCUCCCUCGAAAUUGGGUUCAUGCUUUGUUCUCCCUCCGUUGUGCUGGAGGCUGUCUCUAUCGAAUGAGGCUCCACAAAAUCUAAUUUGACAUCAGCAUCUGAACCUAAAUUCCAAUCUUAGGCCAAAUGCUAAAACAAAACCAUCUGAUUCCAACAGAUAAGUCUGCAUCGAAGGUGACAACCGAAGAACCCUAGCUUGAUGAAAUCAAAAUUAAAUGGCGCCCGUUAGGAAUCAAAGCACCGGGGAUUAGAGAUUUGGUUCCCCUAACCUCUAAUCACAUCAUGGUAACAAGAAUCAAAACAAACAAUGGAGAAAAUUGUGAACUCAUCGGUGAAACACGCGCAGUGAUCAACAGAAAUCCAGGUUAAAAUGCAAGUUCUGUUUUGCUGACUUGAAAUGUUAGAUGAAAUUCUAAAAUGUAAUAUGUUUAGACUUAAAUGCAAUUCAAAUUAAAAUGCAAGGAUCUUGGUAUGGAGUGCGUUGUUGAACUGCUUUGGUUUAUGCAAGGAUGCUUUAAUUUUGCUUGCUCGAGUUUGGACAUGCUUUGGCUGUUGUUAUCUGUUUUUGUGAAGUGCAUUGGCUAUGGGUUUGUGGGAUGGCUAGGAUGGAUCAUGGUAGGCUCUCAUGUGUGGAAUUGGAUCAUUUUGCAUUUGAUCAUGGUUUUUAUAGACUUCGCUAAGAUGAUUAAACUAGUUAGGGACUUGUUAUUGUAGUGCAUUGAAAUGUUCCAAUUUUGGAGUUAGAUGUGUAAUGUAUGAUGCUACCAUAAUUUUGUGGUUUAGGGAAAUGGUAUUGUAAUGUCAUGCGAUGGAUUUGUGAUUUUCUUUGUAUUUGAAAAUGUUUGAAUUGUAUGGCAAUUGGUUUAUGUUUUGGAUUACUUGGAAUAAUGGAUUGGUUAUGUAAAGUUUGUAUUGAAAUGGACCAUCAUUAUUGUAGUGAGUUAA